AAAAAGUAGAACGUGGAAUUUUUUGGGAAAGAGUUACUAUAUGCACCAUGGUUUUAAUUCGUAGUCGCAGGUAAUAGAAAUAAGCCUAUAAAAAGGGUAACAACUUGUUGCUAUGCAAAUUUUUGUUUUGAAAAAUUUUCAUAGUUCAUGAAAUGAAUAGAUAUUUGAAACUAUAAUUAAAAUUAAAAUACAAUACUAAAUAACCAGCAUAAACAUAUCAAAUAAAUACAUUAAAUCAUUCAUUCUUAGGUAUCAUUAGCGUUAAUCAAUUUAAAAAGAAAAUAACUAGGAUCCUGAAUAGGCAUAUGGAGUGUGGCUUAUUGUAGUAGGAUCCUAAAUGGGUUGGAAAAAUAUGGAUGGAGUAGUGUAGAUCAAUUGCCCUUAUUCACCUUCAAAUAAACCUUCACUAUUUGAUGAUCUUAGCUCAAGAAAUGAAGAUUUAUGAAGAUGAAAAUUUUAAGAUGGAAAUUUUGAGAGAAAUAGAUGGAGAAGUGUAGAACCUAGAAACAAAAUAAACUUUCUGCACCAUAAAUAAAAAGAGUUUUUAUCUACCCAUGUGGGUAAUAGCCAUUACCCAUUAAGUAACGACGGUAACAGUUGUUAUGAUUACAUAACAGUCAUUACCAAUUUUAACUUUUCAGCUGUUUUUUAAAGUAGGUAUCGGUAAUGGUAGUCCCAAAAACCUGUAAAUAAUGGCCGUAACAUUAUAUAACGGCCGUUAUUUAAAACCAUAGUGAACUAUAAGUGCCUCAAUCAAAUAGUCAUUAAUCAUCCCAAUUGCUCUCCAUUUAGAAUUUUUGCUUGGUAAGGCUGCCAUUAUACUUACUGGUAAAAAGUUGGUAAACACCACUAUGCAUUGUUACAGAACAGUCCAAUAUCUUUAUGUAUUUAUAUGGCAACUGGCUAGUAACAUGUUGUGGAUUCAUCUUGCUUCUUUUUCUAAGUAAUUUGAAAUUUAGCUCUUCUGCCUUUUGGGAGAUGCCGUUUAACCAUACAUAAUAAUUUGAAGAUGAGGGCUCAUUACUACUGCACAGUCACAUAAUAACAAAAAUGAAAUCGCUGUCAUCAUUUAAAUUAAUAGUUGAAUUCAUGGUACUAUUUGCAGGUAGGAAGUGGUGGAAUAGUAAGAGAUCCCCAAGUCCAUCAAGAGGUACACAUUUUUUUCUUAUCUUUCUGAUAACACCAAGCAGUUUAGGCCAACUCUGACUGACCUUUGUGCUAUUCCAAAAUAAUUAUCAAGUUUUUUCAUUUCACAGUUGGUCAUUUCAUUUAACAAUUAUGAGAAUGUUAUGAAUGUCUAUGAUGUGCUGGUUAUCCAUGAAUAAUUGAAAAGGAAGUCAAGUGUGUCACCCUACAUAGCAAGUAUGAGCACGUUGUGAAUUUGUAUGAUGUGCUGAUUAUCCAUGAAUUAUUGAAGGAGUCAAGUGUGAGUGUGACAAAGAUUGUUGUAAACUUUAUAUGCUUGUUCAUGCUAUAUCGAGUUUGAGUGAUGUCAAAAAUCAACUACAGUGCAAAACAAUGGAACUAUCUACGGCUCAUUGGAUAUGUGGGAUUCAAAGUAAACAAAAUUGAUUGGACUUGAUAGGACUAUAUAACAGUGUGCUAUAACUUUGGUUCCAUUAUGUAGGCUCUUGAGAAGAUUGUAAAGGGUGUGGAGAACUUUGGAUUCUGCAGCAAAGGGUGGAUUGAGUCUCCUUUAAAGGGUGCUGAAGGUAACACAGAAUUUCUGGUUUACUUUAGUCGAAUGCGUGAGAAAAGUACAGAAUAAUGUAUUCAUAUGAAAGAGGCGACUGCAUCAGCCUGGAUGCAAAAUCUUCUCAGAGGCUGGCACUGGAUGGGUUAAUUUUCAACCUGCAGCUUGGCAUGCAUCUGUAAAGAAGAAAGUUCUAUUGCCCCCAAUGUUUGUAAAUUUCUAUCAACCGUAAUUUGCUGUAGAGUUGAAAACUCAAGAAAUGAAAGACGAGCAAUAUUAGCCCACUUCUCUGGUGGUUCAAGGCAAUUGUCUCUUGUUAAACAGCUUACUUACCUUUGCACGCAGAUGGUGUCCCAAUGAAUGCUGGUUAAUGAGUUUGAUAAAUUGCCCACCUAUUACAUGAUUUCCCCACCUUAAAAACAAAAAGUGCUGCGAGUUCACUUUUUGUGAAGCAAUAUACUUUUCAAAGCUAGCUACUGAUUUUUUUUUUU
rnacentral:misc_RNA from 1 species